rnacentral:sRNA from 1 species
ACUCGAGAAAACUGGGUUCGAUUUCUUCAUCGUGCUCUUGAUUCAAAUUGGAUUGUUUCGGGACCACCAGCUGGUGUUACAACGAAACAAUGUGCCGAACAACUGGAAUAUGGACUAUAUUCAAUUUCAAAAAAUGAGACAACUUAUAAGAAUAAGUGUGGACACAAGGUAAUUUGUGAUUUGGAAUCUUUUUCUUUUAGAAAAAUUCAUAUUUACAGCUGGCUGAAAUCAAGAAAUUGACACUGAAGAAUGCUCCUUUCGCCUACACAAAUACAGAAGUUGAGCAGAAUGGAUUUGUUAAAGCUUCCAAUUUAUCAUAGAAACGCAGUUUAAUUUUUAUCUUUUUUUUUUGUAUCAUGAUUUUUUUUUAAUUACAAGCGAGCAUUCGGAUUUUGCUUUAUUUAGCAUGCAUUAUUAGAAAACAAAAAAAGUGGAAAAAAAUCCGUUCAAAAAAAAUUUUUUUUUGUCGAUCGUCAAAAAAUUUUUUAUCGAAAAUUCUUAAUUUUUCCUGCAAAAAUGAUGUAACCUAGUGUAACCUAUUUUAACACAUACAAAACAUAUCAAUUUAGUUCGAUACACUAAAAUUAUAAUAGAAAAUAUAAUUUUUUCGGAUAAUUUUUGAGUUUUUGAAUAUUUCUUGAGAUUCAAAUUUCAACCUCAAAUGAUUUGUAUGUGUAAAAAUGGUUUACACUUGGUUACAUCAUUUUUGUAUAAAAAUUUUUUUCGGAGGAAAAAUAUAAAGAAACGAGUGAUGUAGGCAGACAUGAAAUAUCAGGUAAUUUAUUUUAAAAAACAUUUUGAUACAUAUUACAAAGUUAACUGAGACAAUAAUUAGUAUUGCUUUGGAAAGCGAUCAUGCCAAAUGAAAAAGUCUAAAUUGUUGGUAGACCUCAAUAAGAUAGUAGCAAUCGUUCCGUCAUUUCUUUUAAUGUCAAGCCCAUUUUCACAAUCCCAUUUGGUAAAGCCAUAUGUAAAACUCGUUCUGAAACUGUAUAAGAUUAUCUCUGUACAAUUUUGUGUCGAUGAGGAUUUUCUGAAAAGUUGAGUAGUCUUACGCUUAGUGGCCGAAUUAGACUUUGAAAAUUUUUUUUAGUUCUAUUUUUCGUGCUCAGUCUCUAAUUUCCUUCGUUUUCUUGUGAUGUGGAUGUAAGUAUUGAAGCAACAAUUGACCCACAUGUUGGGGAUACAUCAAAAGAGGAUAUAUUGAUCAAAAGGGCACAGUGCGCCCAACUACUAGAAAACUAUUUCAUCCUGAAUUCAAAUUUUCUGAGAAAAAUUUUGGCGGGACUUUCCAGAAAAAUAUUGAAACCUCUAGAUUUUUCUGGAAAUUUAUAGAAAAAUCUUGAAAUUUCUAAAAAAAAUCUGAAAUUCUUGAGAAAAAUCUAAAAAGUUCUAAAAAACCUGGAAAAUUCUAGAAUUUUUAGAAUAAUCAGGAAACUUUUUGAACUUUCUAGCUAAACCUGGAAACUUCUAGAAAAAUCUGGAGACUUCUAUGAUUUCCUGGCACUUUUCCUUUUCUACCCCGCAUUUUUUCUGGAACAUUUUCUUUGAUAAAAACGUGAACUUUAUCUGUAAUGUUGUUUUCUGAGCCUAAAAAUAAAAAUAGUAUUAAAAUGAACAUUCACGUAAGAAUUAAAUUCAAAUAAUUUAAUGGUUGAAAAAAAAAAAAUUCUAAAAAAAUUUAAUAUUCUGGAAAUUUCUUUAACUUUCUCGAUUUUUCUAGAAUCUUCUAGAACGUUCAUAAAAUUCGCUAAAAGAAAAGAUUUGUUCAAACAAUUUAUUUUGGAGCCAGUCGGAGCACGCGCUUUGCGCGUGCGAACGGCUGGUUUUAAAAGCACGCCAUCUCAAUAAAAGAAAGGAAUGCUUCAAACCGCUUACUUGAACUCUAUAGAAGGAGCUAAAGCAACGGAUAAUUUAAUUGAACUUGCUCUGAAUGUAUUUUCUUGAAUGUUCAGUUUAAAAGUUGCAAAUGUAUGUAAAGUCUUACAUGAAAUAACGUGCACGUUUCUUUUUGUUCCAUUUCGAAUAUUCGAUAUCUUUCAAAAUUACGUUCCAAUUGGGUGAAGGACCAACAUUUCUCAAGGUAAAUCGUUUUAAUCUCGGGUUUCCUCCGCCUAUCCAGUGAUGGAUAAAUUUGUUAAACACUUCUUCUUGAAAAAUACUAUAAUCGAGAACUGAGAUUUCACAUUUCAUGGUUUUUAAGUCUUCAAAUGUCAUCCAUCUUGCAGCUUCGAUAAGCAAUGUAUCCACAUUGAAGAUCUUCAAUAGAAUUAUUGAUUUUUUCGAUUUUAUACAUGGAAGGUUUUUUGAACUUGUGUGGAGCUCUAACUAAUCGUAGAAUAUACAAGAAUAUACAAAUAUAAUUUAGAGUGUGAAACUUUAUUUCCCUCAAAAUCCAUGCCCAAUGAACAACAUUUGUAAUGAAUUAUUUUAAUAUAUAAUAUUAGGUUGCACAAAGUUGCACAAGCCAUCGCAUGGAAACAACUCGUUUUUUGGCAAGAAUGGUUAGGAAUAAAUUUCAGCCAAAGUAUCAGCAAAAAUGAAGGUUUUAACUUACUUCAGAGAUUCCUUUUUAACUCUGAUAGCGACCACAAAAUUAAAACCGUGGCGCCCCACUAAAAAAUUCGAUUGCAUCUGAAUUGAUGUCUCACAAUUUUAAAAUAUGAUAUACAAGAGUAAAUUAGCAAAGAAAAACAGGAAGGGUUGAAUUUGCGAUGCUGUUAAAAUAGUUAGGUUUUAGACAAUUUUCCUCAUUGUUAAUGGCAAAAAUUGCAUAAAAUGUUUUUGUGUUCACCGAAAUUUACUUAAAGGCAGAGUACCGAAAUUUGAGACUUUGCUUUUUUAGACCCAAAAUGGUCCAAGACUACCAAAUUUCGUAAUGAGCCGCUCUGAAAAUUUUUCAAAAAAAGUUAUGACCGCUCAAAGUUUUGAAAAAAAUGACAUUUUUUAAAUCUAAAAUCUCUUUUUGGAAUUUUAUUACGUGUUAUUUCGUUAAUUGGGAUGCUUUUUCCGUCGAUGCGGACACAAAGUUGUAUCAUAUUUGUGCCCGCAUCGGCCAAAAAAACAGCUCAAUCAACGAAAUAACACGAAAUAAAAUGCCAAAACAAGAAUUAAAGAAUUAAAAUCAAAUAAAAAUUAAGUUCCAACCGCUGCGACACCGAGAAGUUGCCAAAGUUUGAGAUUUUAGCUAAAAAUGGGCCACUUAUUCAAAUUUUUGAGCAGCCAUAACUUUUUUUGACAAAUUUUCAGAACGUCUCAUUACGAAAUUUUUUGGUAGUUUUGGACCAUGUUGGGUCUAAAAAAGCAAAGUUUCAAAUUUCGGCACCCCACCUUUAAUAUUUUUCAUUUUUAUUUCUAAUACAGACAAGCAUCCCACUAGAAACGAUGCACCUCUAACGUAUUCAAAACGGUCACUCACUUGUUUUUGUUGAAAUUUUGUGCUCAACGCUGAUCGGGCAUUCAAUUCCCUUAUUUGAUUGAUUUUUCCUGUCAGAAAAGUAUAAUGGAUAUCCUCCAGUAAUAUAAACAGUGUGACACCUGAGAAACAUGGGAUGGUUGAUUAAUAUCUUCACAUGCUCUGCAAAGUAAAUUGUGUGAAAAAAAAUCCUUUGAAACGUAGAAUUUUAUAUUUAGAACGAUUAGCUAUUUAGUUAAUCUAUUUAGAUUAGUUAAUGACUUACAUUUCAAGAAGUUUCAUCUGUUUAAUAACACGUUUGAAGCAAAUAAAUGGUAAUGAAAACAGUUUAAAAGAUUUCAUUGCGAUUAUUUUCAAAAGUAAUCAGAAUCAAUUUAUUCACGAUUCAAAGAAAAAUGGCUCAGUCCAGAGUAAUAUCUGUAGUGUGGGCUUGCGUAUAAUGUGACGUACUGCAUUGUAACACUCGUGACCCAGACUUUAGGUUGUAACAGCCAGAGAGGAUAAGUUAACAGACACCGCGCGACCAGCUGCCGCGCAGAAAUGUCAAAAAGGAAUACCAGGGGGGAGGGGGGGGGAAAUCAAUAGUUUACGGUUAUUUCCAUAGAAAAUUUCUGGAUGAGAGCAUUCCGUCGCACACCAUAACGACGCUCACCAUCUUGAUAUAAUGUUAAAUAAUCGGAGAAAGAGACCUCUAAAAUCCCGAAUAUCCAUGACAAACAACUCUUACAGUUCGAGCAGAAGAUGUUCUGGGUCACGCUGCACUCGUCAAUAUGUAGAUCGAGAAAUGAUUCGGGAAAAUUUAGCAAUUGUGUUUUAUUGUCGUGUGGGUUUCCCAAUCAUGUAUCGAUUACAUAAAAAUUGUAUGCGAAAGAAUUUUAAAUGAUGCAGUUGUUGCGUUCCAAGAGAAUGAAUUUGUUAUUUAAGUUGCUUUCAUUAGCAACCUCGCGCGAGGCACCAUAGCCCAACAGGUAAGGGCGUCGGCGUUAUUAGUUCAAUCCCCAGCAAGAACAGCAAGAUGUGGCAGAAGUGGUAUCCCGGAAUGAGACGGACGGCAGGGUCAGAAAGGGUGGGAACAACGGCGGGGACAGGAAACUGUCAAAAAAAAGAUUUUCAUUUUCGAUAUCGAAAACCACUUCUAAUUAGCAAGAAAGGCACUUCUAAUCGACUGAAAAGCAUUUCUAAUUACGGUGACUCUAGAACUGGUCGAAAUAGCUAAUUAGAAAUGGGUUUUUGCUAAUUAGAGGUGAAUCUAUGUUAUCUGAGUUUUUACCCACUUCAAAGUGCUUAUCUGCAGAUAAUUUUUUUUAGUAAUGAACUAGUCUAAAGGUCUACUUUCGAAUGACAUAAGUUUCAUUCGGAAGUCUAAAAGUGAGCUGAAAUACUUUCCUUGUGAGUGGAGUCCACCUUUAAGGAAUUUUCAUCAAUUUUUCAAAAAAAAAAUUACUUAAAAAAUUAAAUAUACCAACAAAAACAUGCAUUUUAUAAAUCCUGAGAAAAGUAUGAAAAAUCAAUGAAAAUCUCACAGAGACAAAAGUUUGAACCUACAGUACUCUCUUUAAAGAACACUUCACACCUUUUUGCAAUCAGCAAACAGUUAUUGUGAUGGGACCCGAUACCGUAUUUUGCGGCGCAAAAUCUUGCCUCUGAGUAAUCUGAAUAUGUAAUAAUUAGGACUGUCACCAAAAAACAAAGAAAUCCAUCUGAAAACCCAAAAAGACGCUCACAAAUCCAUGUUUUAAUUCCCUCCAAAAUGAAAACUACAAGAACAAUCAGCGAUUUGCUCUGCUCACAAAGCCAAUCACUGAUUGGUCUUGUAGAUCUUAUUUUGGAGGAUAUUUAAACAGGGAAUUUUUUUUUUAAUAAUUGAAAAAAAAAACUUUAGAAUUUCACUAAAUGUUGGGAAGUCACGUGAACGUCCUGUGUGGCACUAACGUGUUCGCCCGGACGUAAAGAUCUUAUCACAACAUUCCACGUAUUGGUUAUUUAUUAUGAUGACAAUUCAGUUCUUACUUUUCACGAGUAUCUAAUAUACUCUCUAUCCUGCACACCUGCUAACUACAAUAUUGCUUAUUUCUUGCUCAAUAAACUCUUCUACAAUAUCAAUACAUAACAAUUGGCGAUCAGGACUUCGAACAAAUGCCGGGAGGUAAGAAAGAUAAUAAAGCAGAGGGGGAUGCUAAUGCAGCUCUCCUGCAAACUCUUGCCGCUAUGAGAGCCCAAAUGGAGGCUCAAGGGAGAGCGUCGCGUUUAGCUCUUGAAACACAGACUAAAAACGCUGAGCGUCAGCUCGCGCUUACCGAAAAGUUGAUGGAGGAGAAUCGUUUUCUCCGUGAGGCUAGUGGUUCUGGGGAAAUGCCUAGACAGGCUGCUGGGGGUGAAUCCCGCGUUCAAAAUAAUGCGCGUAUAAUGUCUGAUUUAAUCAAGCGCGUUCCAAAGUUUCAAUAUUCAGUUACGGAGCCCGACACCUUCAAAAGAUGGUGGUCGCGCUACCAGCUAACCUUCACGGAGGAUGGCAAAGACUUAACUGAACGCGAACGAAACAGAAUGCUUUUAGAAUGUCUUGAAGAAUCGGCAUAUCAUCGCUACGUGGAUUCACAAAGAGAUGUGACAGAUUUUCUCGGAAUUCCAUUCACGGAAACUCUCCAAAAUCUCACCAAAGCGUUUGGUUCUCAUCGCUCGAUGAUGAUGCGGAGACAACAAUGUCUUCAAAUUUCGCGCGCUAAUGGAGAAUCACUAGACCCACUGGAAUACUCAAACCGAGUUGGAGACGCAGUCCUAGAAGCAAAACUUGCAUCCAUGUCUACUGACGAGUGGUCUGUAUUCAUAUUCUUGCGUGGAUUAGAUGCGCCUGGAGACAAUCCGGCUAAAGCUUAUCUUAUGCAGUUUUGUGAAACAGCUGAAAAGAAGGGCGAAAAGCUCAAGCUUUCAGAUAUCCACGACGAAUGGAUCCGUUUCAUCCAAAUGAAACAACAAACUAAGGUCGUCUCAGCUCUUCCAGUCAAGCCUACUCCUCAACAAGCAGUCGAGGUGAACAAAGUUGAUCCUCGCACUCCCAAAAAGAAGAAGUUUAAGCAGAAGCAGAAACAUUCCAAGUCUGGAAAUGAGAAAAAGGAAUUCAUUCCAACAUGUUUUACCUGUAAAAAAUCCGGCCAUACUGCUCCGAAUUGUCCAAAUAAUUCAAACAACAAUUCUAAUGCUGUUCCAAAGAAUGGUAAAAGAUGUCAAAUCAUCGAAGUUGGCGGAUUAGAAGUUGAAUCUGAACCAUCGAAGCACAGCCUGACUGUGACUGUUGAAGAUAAAGAUUUAGCGUUCCUUCUAGAUACAGGCAGUCAAAUCACGUUGAUUAACGUCGAUAGUUGGAAAGAAAUUGGUUGUUUUUGCAAAAAGUUACUCAUAGCAUUUGCUGCGCGAAUGGGACACCAAUGACGGUUAAGGGUCGAGUUCGUGUCAAUUUCAAACUCAAAGAGGUCGAUUACACAGACUAUGUGUACGUGUGCGACCGAGACACAAACUUGAUCGGGACGAGUUGGUUGAACCACUCUCCAGAAAUGCGUGCUGCCAUUGCUAUUAUGGUUAAUCAGGUUGUUGUCAACACUGAUAGCGAAGCAAACCGUCUUGCCGAGACUCUCAAAAGGGAAUAUCCUGACGUGUUUUCUGACGAAUUGGGUCUUUGUAUUAAAGAAAAAGCUCAAUUACGUACUGAAGAAGGUAUAAAACCGGUAUUCAAAAAAGCUCGUCCAGUACCUUUUGGAUCUCGCGAAGCUGUGGAGAAAGAGUUAUUUCGACUGAAAGAUAUGGGUGUCAUCACACCAAUCACCUAUUCCAAAUGGGCUGCUCCAAUUGUAGUCAUAAGGAAAAAGGAGUCGAAUAAGAUUAGAGUCUGUGCAGAUUUCAAAUGUUCAGGUCUUAAUUCAGCUCUAAAAGAUGAAAUUCAUCCGCUUCCCACAUGCGAAGAUUUAUUCGCCAAGUUGAAAGGUUCAGUCUUUUCAAAGAUUGACUUUCGUGACGCCUAUCUUCAAAUUGAGUUAGAUGACGAAUCUCAAGAGUUAGCAGUCAUCAAUACUCACCUAGGUCUAUUCAAAUACGUGAGAAUGGCUUUUGGGUUGAAGCCUGCACCGGCAGUGUUUCAGAAGAUAGUGGAUAAGCUGAUUUCGGGCAUUCCUGGAGUGUCUGCUUAUCUGGAUGAUUUGAUUAUUGCUGCUAGUUCUUACGACGAACAUGAAGCCAUCCUGCGUCAACUCUUUGAUCGAAUCCGUGAAUAUGGAUUUCGAGUCAGUCCUGAGAAGUGCAUGUUUGCAGUCUCGGAGAUCUCGUUUCUGGGAUUCAUCGUGGAUGAAAAAGGUCGUCGACCAGACCCAAACAAAGCGUCAAAAAUCCGUUCGAUGAAGGCGCCAGGAGAUCAAAAACAGCUAUCAUCAUUUUUGGGUGCUGUGUGUUUCUACAGUCGGUUCGUUCCGAAAAUGUCGGAAUUGAGAGGGCCACUCGACAGACUCAUGAAAAAGGAUGUCGAAUGGUCGUGGACAAAAACUGAGCAAAUCGCUUUUGAGAAGCUCAAGAAUACAGUUGCUGAUGCGACUAUGUUGUCCCACUUUCACGAAGAUUGGCCUAUAAUUGUUGCCGCUGAUGCAAGCAACUACGGAAUAGGAGGUGUUCUUUGUCACGUCAAUCCAGACGGUGUCGAAGUUCCCAUUGCUCACUAUGCUCGAUCGCUUACAGCUACUGAACAAAAGUACAGUCAAAUCGAGAAGGAAGGAUUGGCGUUGAUCUUUACAAUCAAGAAAGCUCACAAAUUUAUUUUCGGAAGAAAAUUUAAGCUUCAGACAGAUCACCAACCGCUUCUCGCAAUCUUCGGUUCGAAGAAAGACUUACCAGUUCAUUCGCAAAAUCGACUUGUGCGCUGGGCCACAACCCUCAUGUCAUAUGACUUCGAUUUGAGUUGUCCACUUCCAAAUUUGCCAAAGCCGACUGGUUGUCUCGUAUGAUUCAGGAAUUUCCACGUAAUCAAGAUGAUGUGGUUAUCGCCGAAAUCUGGGACGAUGACAACGAUGAUUCCUUGAGUUCCAACUUCACUCCAGUCAUGCAAGAAGACAUUCAAGUAGCUUCUGAGAAAGACUAUGAAGUCUCCGCGGUGAUGAAAUUGUUAUCGGAUAAUUCCUGGAAAUCAAAACCGGAUACCGAUAUCGAGAAGUACUGGAGUCGACUCAAGGAUCGUUUGAAGAUCAUACAAGGUUGUUUACUUGUUGAUGAUCGGGUAAUUGUGCCAAAACAGCUACAAUCAAUGGUUCUAAAACAGUUACAUGACGGUCAUCCAGGAGUAGUGCACAUGAAACAAAAAGCUCGUUCUUUUGUCUUCUGGAGAGGUCUCGAUUCGGAGAUUGAGAAACUUGUACGUCAAUGCAACAACUGUCAAGAAAACGCCAAAAUGCCAAGAGUUGUUCCAUUAAAACUUUGGCCGGAACCAGAAAAACCUUGGACACGAAUUCAUGUUGAUUUCUGUGGACCACUAAAUGGACAGUGGUUAUUGGUUGUCGUUGAUGCUAAGUCCAAGUACGCGGAGGUCAAAUUGACAAGAAGCAUUUCUGCCAUGUCAACGGUGGAUCUGAUGGAAGAGAUUUUUUCAAUUCAUGGUUACCCGGAAGUUCUUGUUAGUGAUAAUGGUACACAAUUUACCAGUCACUUCUUCAAAAAGAUGUGUGAGUCUCAUGGAAUUAUUCACAAGACAUCUGCUACUUAUUAUCCAAGAUCUAACGGAGCUGCAGAGCGCUUCGUGGAUACUCUCAAGAGAGGUAUCGCCAAGAUCAAAGGAGAAGGUUCAGUCAAUCAACAGAUUCUGAACAAAUUUCUUAUUAGUUACCGCAAUACGCCGCAUUCCGCUUUGUCUGGUGCUACACCAGCUGAAUGUCACUUUGGUAGAUCAAUCAGAACAACUAUGUCGUUGUUGAUGCCGAAGCCAGACGCAAAUCAUCAAGCUGAUCUUUCUGAAUACCAGAAAAAGAUGAAACAGCAGUAUGAUUCACGCAACGGUACGCGCGCUAAACAUUUCCAGGUUGGUCAACAAGUUUAUGUCAAGGUUCAACAUGGAAAUAAGUCGGAAUGGGAUUAUGGAGUUGUUUCGCGGAAGAUUGGUUCGGUGUUGUACGAAGUGCAAGUUGGCUCGAGGCUCCAACGUUCUCAUGUUAACCAGUUACGGUUGAGAUACGGAGACAAGAGCAGUGUGGAGAAAUUUGAGGAUACAAUUUAUCCGAUGUUCUUCACUUUUGCCAAUCAUUCGGAUAAGUUUAACAAUUCUCCUGGUUUUAAUCACGUUUCGAGUCCGAGGGUCCACGGGGGGGAAACUAAUAUUUUUUAUUCUGCAGGUUUGUCCGCAGAUAGUUUGCUCCCAGCUUCUCAACGUGUUGGUUUGUCGAGGGAGGACGGUGGCGAUGCUGACAACAAUUCAUUGGUUUUACCUAAUGGGGAUUCCGAUGCUAACAUGGCUCGUGGAAGACCUAAAGAACUAAAGAAGAGUAAUAGCAAAGUGCCAAGUCAUCAAUCAACGUCCAAGCCUACAAUGCGAUCAAUGAAGUCUACAGUGCUCACGAACGUCUCAAGUGAUCUACCAGCCACCGACCUAAGUCAUUCUUUACGACGAAGCCAACGACUCCGCAACGCUUCGGCACGAUAUACGGGUCAACGGAACAUCCACAACUGGUCAAUGCUCCACUCGCAACAGCAGCAUCCACAACCCUGCUGGUCGUACGAUUAACUCUCGCCCAGUUAAUGGCAACUCGUCACUUAAGGAGGGAGGUGUUGGGAAGUCACGUGAACGUCCUGUGUGGCACUAACGUGUUCGCCCGGACGUAAAGAUCUUAUCACAACAUUCCACGUAUUGGUUAUUUAUUAUGAUGACAAUUCAGUUCUUACUUUUCACGAGUAUCUAAUAUACUCUCUAUCCUGCACACCUGCUAACUACAAUAUUGCUUAUUUCUUGCUCAAUAAACUCUUCUACAAUAUCAAUACAUAACACUAAAUUUUUCUUUACUAAUUACAGAUGUCGUCAUGUUUCCAUUGCCAGUUUCUUCGAUGACACCGAAUGCCGUCCGUGCAAGACAAAUUAUGAUUACUGUAGAGAUUCCACUAAGACAACCAGAAAUCCUGACGAUUUUAUUGUUAGUUCAUUUUUUCUGCUAAAUUUCAAAAAAAAACCCCCAAUUUUUGCAGAAUAGCGAAGCAUCAACAGGAAGAACAAAGUUCAGAAAGUCUGCUUCUUCUGGAGAAAGUGGAUUUGAUAGUGUAUAUGGAGGAGGAAAACGUGGUGAAGAAACAGAAGAUGAACUAUUAUCAGCUGCAAGUACAUCGAAAGAUGCAAUGGAUCGAAUGGAACAAGAAGAAGCAAAACGAGUUCGAUCAGUUAUUUCCCAAGAAUUUGCGAAACGAAGACAGGCGUCACAUGUGAAUGUGAUUAAACCGGAACAAAAUGUUAUUAAGAAUG